rnacentral:rRNA from 1 species
UUCUUUCCAUCUUAGUGGCGGACGGGUGAGUAACGUGUGGGCAACCUGCCCUGUACUGGGGAAUAAUCAUUGGAAACGAUGACUAAUACCGCAUGUGGUCCUUGGAAGGCAUCUUCUGAGGAAGAAAGGAUUUAUUCGGUACAGGAUGGGCCCGCAUCUGAUUAGCUAGUUGGUGAGAUAACAGCCCACCAAGGCGACGAUCAGUAGCCGACCUGAGAGGGUGAUCGGCCACAUUGGGACUGAGACACGGCCCAAACUCCUACGGGAGGCAGCAGUGGGGAAUAUUGCACAAUGGGCGAAAGCCUGAUGCAGCAACGCCGCGCGAAGGAUGAAGGGUUUCGGCUCGUAAACUUCUAUCAAUAGGGAAGAAACAAAUGACGGUACCUAAAUAAGAAGCCCCGGCUAACUACGUGCCAGCAGCCGCGGUAAUACGUACGGGGCAAGCGUUAUCCGGAAUUACUGGGUGUAAAGGGAGCGUAGGCGGCAUGGUAAGCCAGAUGUGAAAGCCUUGGGCUUAACCCUGAGGAUUGCAUUUGGAACUAUCAAGCUAGAGUACAGGAGAGGAAAGCGGAAUUCCUAGUGUAGCGGUGAAAUGCGUAGAUAUUAGGAAGAACAC